UACGAAGGGUGCAAACGUUGCUCGGAAUUAUUGGGCGUAAAGCGCACGUAGGCGGCUUUUUAAGUCAGGGGUGAAAUCCUGGAGCUCAACUCCAGAACUGCCUUUGAUACUGAGAAGCUUGAGUCCGGGAGAGGUGAGUGGAACUGCGAGUGUAGAGGUGAAAUUCGUAGAUAUUCGCAAGAACACCAGUGGCGAAGGCGGCUCACUGGCCCGGUACUGACGCUGAGGUGCGAAAGCGUGGGGAGCAAACAGG
rnacentral:rRNA from 1 species